AGACGGAACUUCAGCUGCUGCCUUGGUUCUCAGCGUCAGUGCCGCCACUUUCCCCCGCCAGAGCCCACCGGCCAGCAUGUCCUCUGCUCACUUCAACCGAGGCCCUGCCUACGGGCUGUCAGCUGAGGUUAAGAACAAGCUGGCCCAGAAGUACGACCACCAGCGGGAGCAGGAGCUGAGAGAGUGGAUCGAGGGGGUGACAGGCCGUCGCAUCGGCAACAACUUCAUGGACGGCCUCAAAGAUGGCAUCAUUCUUUGCGAUAGAGAUGGAGUUUCACCAUGUUGACUAGGCUGGUCUUGAACUCCUGACUUCAAGUGAUCCACCUGCCUUGGCCUCCCAAAGUGCUGGGAUUGCAGGCACAUGCCACCACGCCUGGCUAAUUUUUUUUUUUUUUUUUUUUUUUUUUAGUAGAGACAGUGUUUCACCAUGUUGACCAGGCUGGUCUCGAACUCCUGACCUCAAGUGAUCCACCUGCCUCGGCCUCCCAAAUUGCUGGGAUUACAGGCAUGAGCCACCUCGCCCGACCUUCUUCUUCUUCUUCUUUUUUUUGAGAUGGAGUCUUCCUCUGUCACCCAGGCUG
rnacentral:sRNA from 1 species